GGAACAGAGGAUGCAAGCGUUAUCCGGAAUGAUUGGGCGUAAAGCGUCUGUAGGUGGCUUUCAAGUCCGCCGUCAAAUCCCAGGGCUCAACCCUGGAACAGGCGGUGGAAACUACCAAAGCUGGAGUACGGUAGGGGCAGGAGGGAAUUUCCGGUGGAGCGGUGAAAGUGCAUUGAGAUCGGAAAGAACACCAACGGCGAAAG
rnacentral:rRNA from 1 species